GAUGAACGCUGGCGGCGUGCCUAAUACAUGCAAGUCGAGCGAACGGACGAGAAGCUUGCUUCUCUGAUGUUAGCGGCGGACGGGUGAGUAACACGUGGAUAACCUACCUAUAAGACUGGGAUAACUUCGGGAAACCGGAGCUCAUACCGGAUAAUAUUUUGAACCGCAUGGUUCAAAAGUGAAAGAGGGUCUUGCUGUCACUUAUAGAUGGAACCGCGCUGCAUUAGCUAGUUGGUAAGGUAACGGCUUACCAAGGCAACGAUGCAUAGCCGACCUGAGAGGGUGAUCGGCCACACUGGAACUGAGACACGGUCCAGACUCCUACGGGAGGCAGCAGUAGGGAAUCUUCCGCAAUGGGCGAAAGCCUGACGGAGCAACGCCGCGUGAGUGAUGAAGGUCUUCGGAUCGUAAAACUCUGUUAUUAGGGAAGAACAUAUGUGUAAGUAACUGUGCACAUCUUGACGGUACCUAAUCAGAAAGCCACGGCUAACUACGUG
rnacentral:rRNA from 1 species